rnacentral:lncRNA from 1 species
GUUUUUGUUGAUCUGGGGUCAUCAGACCCAAUCUGAGAGGGAUACUCCCCUAAUCUGAGGGGGACUUCUGUUUUUGUCUGCAAUUUGAAAAGGGAAUCUGUGUUUUAGCUUUUUGUCUGUGACACUGUUAAGUGUGAUAGCAUUGUUUUACUUUGGACAAAUGCAGUGUCCCAAGUUCUGAUCUGCCUUAGAUGUGUGGAGGUAACUUUAGCUAAAUUUUAGCCUGAAAAUGUCCCUGGUAUGCUUCUCCUGCUUCCCAAAAAAUAGACUUUUGGUUCUAUUGACCAAAAGUCAUUAGAACCACCAGCUUUUCUAUUCUCACCUCUUACGCUCCUUUGAGCUAUAUUUUAAAGAACUUUGAUAAACUUUACUCCCCUUUGUUAAGCAAGAUUAGAGAAGCAAUGUUUUCUUUUCUUCCUGUAGUUGGCUUGAGUGCACCCACUGCAGAGGGAAAUGCCUGCUGGGGAUCUAAGAACUUUGAUAUCUCCCUUUUCUUUUUUCUCAAAACCCUGUCCUCAUUAUUAAAUUGGCAUUAGUUGGCUUCGAGAACAGGAACCGAACAUUCAGUUACAAAUUUUGGCACCCCAGAUGGGACUCUAGAGGAGCCCCCGCUUCACUUUCUUGGGGAAGCAUCGCACUCCAAACAACUGCAUGUGGAAGAUUAACUUUUUGAGAGCUGACUACUGAAAAGUUAGGAGGUAUGGAGUGUGCUUGGUGCCUGGGGUCAGACCAAACCAGAGGAGCUAAUUCUGUAAGUAAAAGGAGGGACUGAGGGACUCCCAGCAGCUGCAGAAGCACUUUUGCUUUGGGGAACUCCCUUCUUCCUUCCCUGCACUAUAAGGAUUAAUCCACCUCUGUCUGCUUAAAGAAAAAAAAAAGGUGGGGGGGGACACUGAAUGCAGUAAAGUUACCACACUGAGACCCUUGAUUUUACACUUCUGGUUGCCCCUCUGUGAGAACAUCUGGUCCACUCAUAGGGACAUCUAUGGUGCCACUGGUGUAAGAGUCAUAAUUAAAUGGGAGUUGGAAACUUGAGGAGAUUUUUCUCUUAUCUGUUCUGUCUGUUUUAAAGGUUAUUAUAGAUUGUUUCUUGGGAAUGAUCUUGGCUGAAUUUGUGUCUAAGAGAUGAUGUUUUAUUGUAACAAUCUGGUAUCUGAAUGGGUUUUUGAAGUAUUGCACAAUCUUGCAGUUAAAAGUUGGGUUAGGGGCUGGGGAUGUGGCUCAAACAGUAGCGCGCUUGCCUGGCAUGGGUGUGGCCCGGGUUCGAUCCUCAGCACCACAUACAAAGAUGUUGUGUCUGCCAAAAACUAAAAUGUAAAUAAAAUAUUAAAUAAAUAAAUAAAAAUAAAAGUUGGGUUUAGGUAAUUGUUUAGUGUAUGAUUUCAGAUAAUUCAUGCCAAAGAACUUAAAUACUUAGGAUGGAAAACUAAAGAACUCUACUUCCAAUUUGGCAAGUAACUCCAAAUCAUUUAGUUUUACUUUUUCACCAAUUUUUGAAUUGGGUAGCCUGGGGAGAUUUCACUAGGUGUACCAGGGCAUUAAUUUAGGCAAGGAUAGUAAAUUAUCGUAUGGUAUUGAAGUGGCACCCCCUUUCUCUACAGAAAAGCCUCUUCACCAUGCAUGAUUUUAGGACUGUCAGCAAAAGAGUCUCUGCGAAAGAGUCCAAUGUAGAUAAAGUUCCUAUUUUCAUGUUGCCCUGUUUUACUUGGCCACUGGCCGGGAAGAUACCAGCACUCCAGGUGCUGAACACCCCCUUACUAGUUUUUCACAAACAUCUAGUAUAGUAUUUUGUAGAAAUGUGCAAACAAGUCCUCUAGCCUUGAGCUGGGGUUUCACAUAGAUUUUUAAGAUAAGUUACAAAUGGGCUCCAUGGUAACAGCUGGCAGGGAGAGGAAAGAAAGAGGAGAAGAAGCUCUCCCCUUCUCAGGUGUGGUCCUUGAAGAGUUAACUUGCCCAGAAAAGUAAAAGAAAAAUGCUGCUUUUAUGAGAACUUCUGCAGACUGUGAACUUCUGAGCCCCUCCCCUUACAUGCUGGGUAUAAAAUUCUGAAACUCCCUGAACUCGAGGUUCAGGGGAUUAAUUGAUUACAGCAAAAACUGUGCCCUCUAAACCUGGCUGCAGCCAAAUAAAACUGUUUCCUGCUAUCUUUGGUGCCUUGCCUUAUUUGUCCCUACAACAGUAUCUGUUCCCCUCAGUGUAUAGGAUUUAGGAAAAGAAAGUGUUGGAUUGGGAUGUUGGUCUGGCUUAUUGAAAUGACAUUGAAUAGCAACAGUCUUGGGAAAUUUUAAAGCUUAAUUUUGGAUUAGAUGGUAGUGUGUGGUUCUCUUUUGGAACUUAAUACUACUAUAGGAACUUCAGAGCAAAGAAAGUGGCUUAAUGAUCCUGAAGGGAUUUCUUCUGAUGAUAGCUUUUAUAUUAUCAAGUAAGAUCCUAUUUUCAGUUUUGUGUGAGAAAGUUAUUCUAGGAAGAUAUAAAGGUAUGAAAUUUUGUGAAUUGUAUCUUAAACUUGUAUCAUAAUUUUCAACAUCCAAACCUGAAAAUUAUGACUUAAGGUUAAAAUGCCUUAAGCAUGAGGUUUCUGCUCAGAAUAGCAGUUUUCCCUGCUCCUUCCAGACCUCAGCCAGGACUUAAGUUGAAAUGCAAACAGAAGAAGCCUGCAAGCUCAGUAGGAGACUGAUCUGAGGCCCAGGAAAAAAAAAAAAGUAAAGGUGUCUUUUACCUGAACUCAAACUAGAUUAAACCAAAAAGUAAAUUGUAUAGUAUUUACUAAUUACUGGCCAGUCAUUUUUUUCUAGGACUCUUGUUUUUCCUUAGAUUCUGUAUUUUUUUUUUUUUUUUUUGAGCUCAUGAUUUUGAUCCUACAGACCUAGGUUAAUGUUUUUCUGAUGAGUUCUAUUUUUGAUCAACUGUUGAGUUUUUAAACAUCACAAUGGAGAUUUCACCUGAGAAAAGCUACAAGGCCUUUAAUAUUGUGUUAUGUGUGCACACUUGUGUUAUGUGUUGUAUGUCUGUAUGUGUGUAUGUCCAUAUAUCAUGCACAUGAUAUGACAAUUGGCAGAUAUACGAGGAGCCUCAUAAAAUUUUUUAAAAAUGAAUCCAAAUAUCUUUGAUUCAUGUGAUUUAAACAGUUCAAUUUAAAUUGGGUAAACAGAUGAAAAUAAUGAUGUCUUUAAAAUUAAGCUUACAAGUUUUUCUAGGUGUUCAAAAAAAACUAAUAAAAUGUUGAUGUCUAUGAAAUGUCUGAUAUGCUUUGGUUCUAGGACUUUUCUUCAACAAGGAAGAAAUGGCUAACACUGUUCAAUACACUUGUCUGAUGUUUUGGUAAAAUAAGUAAAGUAGAUUUGACAUGGGAUUACUCAUUUAUGAGUAUUUUUGUUAGAUAUUUGAUUGAUCUGUAGAUUUGACAUGGGAUUACUCAUUUAUGAGUACUUUUGUUGGAUAUCUGAUUGAUUUACAAGGUUAAAAUGCUAAAUUUAAAUAUACUAUUGAGUACUCUGAACUCCUUGAAUUGCAUUGAGUAACAUUAUUAGUGUUUUAGUUGGAAAAUUAAGAAAAAAAAAAGUAUAAGUGGAAAAUUAAGAAAAAAAAAGUAUAAAGUUGCUUUGUCAUCCCUGAUACUUAGAUAUUGUGUUUUCAUGAAAUGGUAAACAGAUGUGAUUCUAGAUACAGGGGUUUAUAGAAGAUUUCUAUAUACAAAGGCCCAAAAGUUUCAACUGUUCCAAAUAAGAGUACUGUAAGUAAAAUCAAGUAUUUCUUUUUAUUAAAAUGAAAUAAUCUGCCUAAGUUCAGAAAUUUACAAGGAUUGUUUUAAAAUGUGAACAGAAAAGGAGGUUAACAGAUGGAAAGGAGAAAUUAGAAGGUUCUAAGUAUGGAUUUAAUAGAAGAAAAAAAUGUGUUUCUAGAUAAAAGAGUCUAUGUGAUUAAGUAAAUAAGAGGGUUUAAGUAAGUGAUAAAGAAGGUCUGUGUAAGUUUGUCUUUACAAUCAGUCAUAUGUUAAAAGGACAAAGAUUUCUUAAAACAUUAGUGUACCCAUAACAUUGUGUUUUAUUAAGUUUUGUUUCUUGUUUCUAGAGCAAGUAAUCUUAAAGGAAUUAAACAGCUGGUUAAACAAGAACUGUUAUUUUAGAGAAUUGUACAUGUUAUUUCUUUAAAAGCUAAACUUGGUUAAUAUAAAAACAUCAUUGUAAUUGUGGUCCUAUUAAUGUGUUCAUAUCUUCCAGGUAUACAAGUCUGUAAGGUAGAAGCUUUAAAAGAGCAUUAUAUCAAGCUGGUGUUCUAAAGUUGUAUGGUAAUUUUAGGCUUAAAAGAAAAGCCAUAUUGGAAAUUUAUUUAUAUCAUUUGAUAUUCUAUAACUGGACCUGUUAUCAAUAAGAUAUGUAAAGCUUUAUGUUACUUUUUACACUGAGGUACAAUUUAAAUGUAUUUUUAAGUUAAUGAGAGCCUAAUCUGUGUAAAGGUUAAUAUUGCAAAACACAAAAGUACUUUGCUACUUUUCUACAAAAGGUUAAAAGCUUUCAGCCUUUCUUUAAUUCAUGUUUUAGAUGUGAUAUCAUAUUGUGUUAGCUAAUAUUCAUGUGAACUUGAGCAACAAUUUAUCUAAGCUUUGUAAAAUGAUGUUUAAAAAGCAAAGAUCAGCUUCAGAACUACAGCACUUUACUUAAGAUUUAUGAAGAGCCCCGCCUUACCUGAGAUAAGGCCUACGUCCCAUCUCACUACAUGUGAAAAUGACUAUGAAAGAAGUNGUGUUGUCUGGAGUACUAGGUACAAUAUGACUUACUUCAGCUGUAAUGAACUAAAUCCACUUGAGCAUGUUUUCUUUAUCAGGCAAAUGUGUGGAGUAGGCCAAGCCAUCCUAACAGCUGUAGUAGUAACACUAUGGCCCUAUUAUUAGCCACCAACCUGCUGCCUUGGGGAUGUUUGACCAUUUGACAAAGAAAAGAAGUAAGAGCUGAAGAGAAUCUACUUCCUUCUCCUCUUCAGAAAUGCACACUGGACCUUAAAUGCCAUGAGACAUGCUGCUAGCUCUCCAAUAAACCUCCCCAGUUUAUAUAUUUUUUCUCUUAAGAGAACAUUCCCUUACAAUGUAUUUUUGAACUUUACAACCAGAAGAUCAUAUAAUACACAGAGAGAUGAUAGUACCAGAAAUCAGAAUUCCUGUGCUAGAAAUUCAAAUGCAUCUUCUUUUUAUUAAAAUUAUGCUUCUCUUGUAUAUUGAUUUUUUCUGACCCUUGAUCUAGUAUAUGCAAAAGGAUUAUUGCAUUUAUUACAGUUACAAUAAAGUCUUAUGGAAAUGCUUUUGGCCAAGUACUCUUUUUCACUCUGAUGAAAGUAUAAAUUACUCUCAUCACUUAUCAAAAACCCCAUAGUACAAACUAUAUAAAUUAACCAUUCUACUAUUUUAAAGUUAUCUUAUAAAUGUCCUAAUUUUCAUUCAUACUAGUUACAAUCAUAAGACUAUAUGAUGGCAUCAUGCAUUAUAUGUAUGCCAAAUACUUAUCCAACAAAACACCAUAAAUAGGAUUAAAUUUUAAUCUACUUUUAACAUCCUUUGAGUUUAGCUGUGCCUAAUACAUAUUAUUAUUAUCUAAACCAAUAUACAGAUGCUUAUUAAUCACCAAUAUACAGAUGCUUAUUAAUCACUGUUCAUAGCUUAAGAUGUUAACCAACUGGCUCCAACUUUCCCUCUGGGACAAGUGAGUUUUCUUUGAUCAAGGUCACAGACUGGGAAUAAAGUGAGUCAGGUAGAGCUAGCAGAGCCGUGGCCAUUGUGAAAUCCACCAAAAAUUGUGAAUAAAUCAGUGCAAGUUCAUCACCACUACUGGGAAACAACUUAAAAAGUAGGCAGUAGGGUCACUGACAUCAUAAUGGGUGGACAAUCCACAAUUACCUAUAAGAAAUGAAUGCCUCAAUUGUUACUAAUAAUUAAUAAUGAGAUAUGAACUUCAGAAAAGUGUACACAUUGUGACACAUCUAGUUGCUUGUGGUACCCCUAAGAUUCAACAUAAUGAAACUGGUCAUAAUUUGUAGUAGUCCUUUAUAAAUAGCCCAAAUCUGUUUUAAAAUAUAGUAAAUUUUACUAAUCAACAUUAAACAUUUUCUUGUCCUUGUCUUAAUAUGAUUUAUUAGUAUCAUCAUAAUUUAUUAAAGGAAUAAUCACACUUAUUAAAUUGUGGUAUUUAUUUGUUAUGGUAAUUGUUAUGUAUUUAUAAUAAAACGCACCACUGUAUGCAAGAUUAAAUUAAUCAAUUACACUUUUAAAUAUUUUUAAAAAUCUAUGUGCAUAAUUUCAUGGUAAAUUUCCCCAGCUACAUUUAACACAAUUAUUGCCAAGAAUGGUUAUAACAUAUCAUUUGCUAACGGUUUUUCUUCUUUCUCCUACAGCAUAACUCUCCAUAAAUUGUAAUUCCAUUAUACCAACUGUUUGUGUGUUAAAAUAUGCAUUUAAUUUUAAUAUGCCUAUUUAUGGCGCAAUUAUAUUCCCAAGAAAGAAUGGUAAGCAAUAAGAAGCCCUGCGGAAAGCAAUAAGAAGCCCUGCGGAGUCAUACCUAAUACUCUGAUGAGCAAGGAAGGAUCUGUGUAAGAUCUGUGCUACCUUGGAGAGAAUCUACAAGUGCUAGCAAACUUAAGUAAAACAGAACAAAAUAGCCAGCAAAGCAAAAAAGACUUCCUUCAAAUUACAAGACUUGGUGCUGCCCGCCUCUUGCAGCCUAGGAACAGAGAAGGCCAGGAACCCAAGAGCUGCUGGCAUCAGUGCCGAGGCGACUUUAUCUAGGACACAGGGCACUCUCAGCACGCUCUGGCUUCCUUUGCCCUUGUGCUCUGCGGGCUCAGGUAUUGAACCGGCCGCGCAGAAUUUUAAGAAAGAGGAUAAAACUUGGGCAGGGAAGCUUGUCUGAGAAAUGUUUUCGGGGCACGCAAUGGGGCAAAGGACUAGUCUCCGGCUGAGCCGAGCAGAGCGGGGCCCGGGCCUUACCAGCUGAACCACCGGCCACGAUCUGCCGAGAAGCCUCACGCACUAAUCCAACUUCGGGCUUGGCGGACAUCUUCACAGCCGGAGAAGGAGGGAGGGGACUGGGAUGAGAGAUCAAGCUCGCUCCUGAAUCCUGGCCUGCGCCGCCUCUCCGGAUAACAGUCGGUGCUGGGUUGGCCCUCUGGCGGGUGGUUUCCUGGGCGCCGGCAAUCCAGGGACUACCCAGAGACGGCGGUUCAGGCACUGGCUCCCUACUAGAUCUCUGGUGGGUGGGACGCUGCCUACUUCGCUGCUUCUGGGUGGCCUUUCCCUUCGACUGGUCUCCCUGCGCUCAGGAAAGGUCUCUGGAGAGAAAACUCACUCGAGGGUGGCAGUAGGUGGACUCACCGCAGCAUGUCAGGCUUGGUCUCUUAGAUUGGCACCCCCUGCGCUUCUCUAUCAGCCUCCUGCUGUUUGUCAAGUAGGACGCUCUGCCUUUGAUAAAGCAAGUGAAGCCAUUAGGGCCAAAGCUCCAAGGGUAAGUCUGGAGCGACCCUUGCCCCAUUGGCAGGACAGAACACAGUACCGUUCUAUAGAGUGGACAGGUGAACAAAUUCCUCGGAGUUAUCCUGAGUUGUAGACUGAAGCAACUGGAAUUUUUAAUUACCUUACAACUGAGCUAAUAUAUACUACUUUAACGAGAAAAUGGCUUUAAGGAAAUUUAUUUCAAACCUCAUAAGCUUUAGUUUUAUUUGCUGAAAGACCAAAGAGAAAAUGCCUGGUUACAAAUAGUCUUCUAGACCCAAGCUCAGAGGUUCUCAAAGUAUGAAACCAAACAUAAUUUUUGAAUCUGGUAGAAAGUAAAAUUCAGAAGCUCCACUCUCACCUACUGAAUCAGAAUCUCUGGGUUUAGGGCCCAGAAACCUGUUUUAACCAGUUCUCUAUAGAUUAUUAUGAACAUUAUAAAGUUUUUGAACCACUGAGUUAAAUAAUUCAGGAACAUUAAGGAAUUUCCAGUAUAUUCUCUCUAUAAAACACUUAUUUUUUCAUAUUAGCUUCUUAGAAUAGUUAACAAAACAAAAAAUAGUCAUUUAAACCAUAAGUUGCAAAUUGCUAUGUAGGAGAGACACAAAUUCCUGCCACACAAGAUUGUGAAAUUUUAGAAGAAACACCCACCACACCCCUACAGGCAGGAAAUGAUAAGAAUAGAAGGAACAACUGGGAGGCUUUGGCUAUUAUUUCUAAUUCAUGGUAUUUAAUACUAAAUACAUUUAUUUUGUGCCAUAUAAAAUUGCUAUUUUUGAAGGCCAAAACCUUUGUAUAUGAACAAUUAAAUUUAAUAUAUAUGAUUUCCAGUCAAACAUACAAAAUACUGUAUUAGGAUUUCAUACUUUAUUUCUUUAGCUGAGCCAUUAAAAGUCAGUGAUACUAAUACCUGACUGGAAAAAUUAUUCAGAGUGAGGAAUUGGGGAGACUUGCUUAUGUGAUUAGAUAUUUAAAAAUAAAGUUUCUCAUUUGAUUAAAAUGGCUAAAUUUGAAAUUUUCCCCAAGAAAUAGUUCUCAGAAUUAUUUGCUAAUUAUGUAGAAUAAAAGCUUUUGCAUAGUAUUUUUCAGCCUUUUACUGAUUAAAAUAUAAGGUUAUGAUUAUAUAACAUUAAAUCACUUUUUUGUCAAAAAGUGAUGAUUUUAUGUUGUGUGGAAACAAUUUCACACAAUAGAAAGCAUUUCCUUCCUUUUACAACUGAGAAAAAACUGAGCAGAGACUUGAGUUUUCCACAAUGAAACAAGGAGUGACAGAAGAGGUGGGCUUCCAUUCUAGGAUUCCUCUGGUAAAAAAUGAGAUUGUGUGUGUGUGUGUGUGUGUGUGUGUAUACACAUUUUUUUUAGUUGUUGAUGGACAUUUAUUUAUUUAUAUGUGGUACUGAGAAUCAAAUCCAGUGUUCACACAUGCUAGGCAAGUGCUCUGCCACUGAGCCACAACCCCAGCCCUGAGAUUGUCAAUUUAAUUAUUAACCAUAGACCAAACAAAAUACAUUCUGUCAUACAGAAAUCUAAAAUAACUAAAGAACCCCCAAACUCAUUUAUUAUAUGUAAGGAGAAUUUCUAAAGUUUCUAAAAAUAAGUAGUCAUAACUGUUAAAUCCCAAGGCACAUACAUUCUAGAUUCAUUGAGAGCCUUCCUAAGUACUGGCAAUAUUAGCAGUAAACAUCCCUCCAUUAUGGAUCACAUAAUUUGAUGGAGGAGAUGCUACUGUCUUGCAGUGUAAAUAAAUAUUUGCCUUCCCAGCCUUUAUUUUAGGAAAUGUAAUAAUACUAUCAAGUUAAGAUUUAAAGAUAGCUAUUGACAUUAUUAUUCUCAUGACUAUUUUCACCUUUGAAGGAAGAGCUUCUAAAAAGAUGAGUGCAGGUUUGUAGUUGGACUAAAAACAUUGCUUCCUUUUUUUAACUUCUCUAGACUAAAACAGAUUUCUUUAGGUAAAAAAGCAAGGCCUAAUAUUGCAUGUAAUCCAGUGACACACCUCUGGAAUAGUUGAGAUCAUUCACAGGCAUAACGUUCUGGAGCUUGAGAGUCUGCAAGGGUCAGUCCAGAGUUAACAAAAACCCAUUGUGCCAAGACCUCUGAUAACGGAAUAUGUCUUUUAUCUACAGCUAAAUUUGCACAUGGCUAAUACCUAGAUGCUGGGAGAUUUAGCCCUGGGAAACUAAACCUUGGCCUGCUAUUUCAGAUGAUGGGACUCAAUUCAUCACAUUGUUAUUUCUGUUAUUUUAAUAAUAUUGUACAGCCCUAAUAGAACAAAAACUAUUGCUCAAGCUUGUGUUUUUAAAAUUGUUAAUUUUUUCCAUCUAAUCUUGGUUAAGAAUUACAUAAGUAUUAUCACUGUGCAGAAUGGCUGAAAAUGAAACUUUCAGGAACCUUAAAAUGACAACUGAUUUAAAUAUUUGACAGUUUAUUCAAUGUGUUAUUGAAAUAAAGUUUUUGUAUUGGCCCAUCCAAAAUAAUAAUGACUUGAGACAAAAAUUUAUUUCACCCUUGUGUAAUAACCCAAUGGUAAGCCACAAAUAUAGCUCUAGCCUGAAGAGAAAGGAAAUUACACAAACUCAUUGGCCAGAACUUGGCCACAAGAGGUCCAAAAGAAAUUAGGAAAUGUAUGUUGCUGCAUGGUCAUGUAACCAGGAUGUAGUGGUGGGUGGUUGCCAGUAUGGAAGAAGGAGAGAACCAACAGUGCCUGUCAUUAAAAAAAAAAAAAAAAAGAUUUAGGAAAAGCUACACUUAAAAUGACAUUUUCCGGGCUGGGGUUGUGGCUCAGUGGUAGAGUGCUUGCCUAGCAUAUGUCAGGCACUGGGUUUGAUUCAAAUAAGUAAAUAAAAUAAAGGAAUAAAGGUUCAUUAACAACUAAUAAAAAUAUUUUUUUAAAAAAUGACAUUUUCCCUUUGAAAGAUUUUGUCUUCCUUAAGUCUAACUAUUAAAAACUCUUAUUCAUAAGUAUUAAAAAUAUUAUGUGCUUAAAAUCCAUAGAUCUGAGUAUAACUUCUCAAAGCUUAUUUACAAAUACUAUGAUAUGUUUUCAUUAAGGACAUUCUAGGUUCUGCUGAUUAGAUUGAGCACUUAAAGCAUUUUAAAAUUUAAGGGAUUACUAAACACUGUAAAUGAAAUAGUUAAGGUGUUAUCUUUGUUAUUGUAAUAAAAAUACUGAAAUAAUCACCUUAAUAAAAUGUUUAUUUUGGUUCACAAUUUUGGAAGUUCUAGUCCAUGAUUGAUUAGCCCUAUUGCUUUGGAGUCUGUUUCAGGGAACUACCUCAUUGUGGGCAGCAUGUGGCAGAACAAUGUUGUUCACCUCAAGUCUAGGAAGUAAAAGAGAAAUUGAAAGACACAAGGGUCCCUUUCAGGACACACACUCAAUGAUCUAAAGACCUUGCAGUAAGCCCCACAUCAAGGGUUCUACCACUUUCCAAAAG